rnacentral:lncRNA from 1 species
CUUGUCUGGAUUUGAAGUAGCAGGCCCGGGGGUCUAUUAUAGGCUAUAAAGACCCUUGAUAGCCAGAGGGUAAGGGAUAGGGUAACUGUAACGAUAUUACCUUGCAACCUCGGCUCUUUAGUGAAUGGUUUAAUUGCAUUGCUUUGAUUUCUAAGUGGAAAAACCGUAUCGUAAGGUGAUUCCCAUCUUCUCCUUCGUGAAUGAUGUUCUAAACUCCCUCAUCUUUCUGGAGUCUAGAGCACACUUUUUAUACAAACCGUGUUAGCAGGUUGAUUGUUGCCCAGCGAAGCUCCCGGAAGGAUGAGCUGCAUGUGGUCCGUCCCCUGGCUCUGCCUCUGCCUGUACCUGGGCUGAGCGGGCCGCCUCUCCAAGCGCAUGCGCUUCCUCAUCUAUACAAUGGCGCAUGGUCAUUGUUCCUGAGAAAAACAACGGGAGUGAUGAAAGAGGAUAGUCAUUUCCUAAGCCACAAGUUUGGUGGUUUCAAACAAUCUAAUCUAUUCUUUCCCAGUUCUGGGGCCUGGUGUCCAAAGUCAGCACCACUGGUCCCAGAUCGAGGUGUUGCCCAGGGCCGGGCUCUCAAGGCUCGGGGGAAAAGCCGUUCUUUGCUCCUCCUAGCCGAAGAGAGAAAAAUCGUUAACGGCUCUCCAGCUUAGUUUUCCUCUGGGGCCUUACAGGGAGACCACCAGAACACAGAUAAAUAGGAGAGAAGCCAGUCCGUUUAAUUUACACAUGUGCAUAGUCGUCCCUCAUGAGACCAGUGAAGACCCAAAGAAAAACUGAAAGCUUACACAAUCUCAUGCUUGUUUUAUGAAGAGAUGCACAUUCCCGUGUUAGUUUGUUUCUGGUGCUGGAGAUUAAAGCAGCGAGUUACACCCAGAGGAGACGCAUCUGAGAAAUGCACCUCCAGAGCGCAUUUCCUGGAGGUUCUGCUUCUCAGCCACAGAUGGAAAAGAUGGAAUAUCUCUUCCUAGCUCCUAACCUAGCUGUCUCAGUCCAUUCAGGCCACUGUAAUAAAGUACCAGAAACCAGGUUGCUAGUUGAUGGCUGCAUUCCAGAUGUUAACACUGUCAGAAGCUUGACUUCCAUGUGGAAUCUGGACCAGCUUUAAGCAAAUAGUAACUGUCCUCUUGGUGUCAUUAUCAUCAUGAUCUUGUUCAACGCCUCCGUUUGAAAGAUGAAGAAACUAAGGCCCCAAGGACAGCAAUUAACCCAAGCCACGAUUGUGUGUGUGUUUCUGGAGCGUUUUCUCACACUUCUGCUCUCUGGGAAGGUUGCUGCUGUGAUAAGCAGAGCUCUCUACCU